UGGGGAAUAUUGCACAAUGGGCGCAAGCCUGAUGCAGCCAUGCCGCGUGCAUGAAGAAGGCCUUCGGGUUGUAAAGUACUUUCAGCGGGGAGGAAGGUGUUGUGGUUAAUAACCGCAGCAAUUGACGUUACCCGCAGAAGAAGCACCGGCUAACUCCGUGCCAGCAGCCGCGGUAAUACGGAGGGUGCAAGCGUUAAUCGGAAUUACUGGGCGUAAAGCGCACGCGGGCGGUCUGUCAAGUCGGAUGUGAAAUCCCCGGGCUCAACCUGGGAACUGCAUUCGAAACUGGCAGGCUAGAGUCUUGUAGAGGGGGGUAGAAUUCCAGGUGUAGCGGUGAAAUGCGUAGAGAUCUGGAGGAAUACCGGUGGCGAAGGCGGCCCCCUGGACAAAGACUGACGCUCAGGUGCGAAAGCGUGGGGAGCAAACA
rnacentral:rRNA from 1 species